GAGUUUGUGCAGUGACUGAGCCUGUCAGUGGGCCAGCUGGAAAGCCACUUCAGAUGGGGAUACUUUAUGUGUCUCGGGGGAACACUGCAGGAGCUCAAUAAGUGCACGUGCGAUUUGAAAAGCUGCCUCCAGCUUCUGCCACCUAUUUUACGGCCAUGGUGGACGGUCCCCUGGAACCGUGAGCUAAAAUAAGCCCCUACUUCCUUGACUUUCUUUUCCUUGGGUUGUUUUUGUCACAGCAGUUAGAAAAGUAACUACAGCAUGAAAACCAAGGUCUAAUUUUUUUCAGCCUAUAUAUAUAAGACUAAAAGGAAAGAGAGGUGGCACUCCCUCUAAGGGCUGAACAUUUGGUUCUGGCUUUGGAAGAGAGCACAGAAUGGGAUUUCCACUGGCUUCAUCCUCUCCAUUAGGCACAUUAACCUAGUUUUCUUCCUAAGAUUAUGGGGGCCAGAAAUAAGCCAUUUUUUUUCUUUUUCUCCUUCUAUGAAUUAUCUAACUCCAAGUAAGUAGUCUUCCACAGCAUACUAACAAACCCUAAGUGAGCCAGCUACUAGUGGGGAAAGUCCAAACUACAGUGAUGUUUACACCAUGUGGAGGCAAUGAGAGCAAGGUAGCCAUCACUGAAGACUCAGGACCUAAGUCUCCAGAGUAGAAUUGGAUCCAAAGGUUCCCCAGCUUCUGAGAUACAUGUGGUUAAUAUAGAGCAAUUGGACCUGGGCGGAGUACGGGCUAGCAUGCCAGGCAUAGUCAUGCUGUGGAGUUGGUUCUAUGACUAGCUAAUUACUUUUCAGCGAAGAUGACUACAUGUCUCCAUCCCAAACUGAGGUUUGCCCACCCGUGACAGAGAGGAAGGGAUGCUAACGGAAGCAGUCCCAGAGGGUUCUUGAGAUGAUCCCACAGAGUAACCACAUGGAAGAUUUAGCACAGUGGUUGCUAGACUACCAGAGGACUUUGAGUAGAAGAGAGAUCUAGAAUGAUUUCGUCUCUAGAAACUCAGCAAGAAGGCACAGGAGCUAUGACCUACACGACUAUUGGCGAUGCAAGACUGGAACUGAAGAGUCAAGGUCAAGUGCUGAGGGGAAGCUGAGCAUAUUCUCCACCAGCCGCAGCAUCCAGCCAGUAAUUAGUAUUCACGCGUGCAACGUAUUUGUGGUCUACCCCAGGAGUUCAGUAGCAAGAGCAUGAUUAGUUGGUGUCUUUGAACUCAAGAAGUAUGUGUGAGUUUUCUUUUGACAUCAAGUACUAGCUUUCAGAGAGCAAAGAACAUCCUUUCAGUCCCUUUAGAAACGGCUUGUAAGGUACAAGUUCUGACACCAUCUAUUUGAUCUGUGGGAAAAGGAAAGCCUGAUCCUCUGGGCAUUUCACAUUCAAUGCAAACGCCCUUCUUUUGUGUUUGAUGAUGGGGGCUUUUGAAAAGGAAUAUUUAAGAAGUUAACUCUAGUUAAUAAAAAGUGAAGUCACUAUAGAUGUAUGCCCAUGCUGAAGACAGGCACGCCUGCAGAAGCAGAGUUCCUGGAUCAGGAUUUCUGAGUGCUUGCUGUUUCUCAGCAACGUUGAACAAACAUUUUCUCUUUAGGAGUUGGCCUUAGUUUUUCAUAGACAAACUGAAGGGCUCCACUUUAAACCAUUUCUAAGUUCUUUGGCCUCAGUUUUUACUUACAGUGAUCCACUAAAGUCUUCUGUAGUUGUGCUGAUUUUGAAGAGUACCAUGCUGGCAAUGAUUCUAUACACACAGCAAAGACUAGCGUAAGUGAUCUGGGGCACUCUAGAUAGCCUAGGCUGUGAAGGGAGAAUGUGUAAUAUCCUCAGCAGAGUGAUCCUUAUAAGGAGGAGACAGUAUCUGCAAAAUAUUUGUGGC